UUUUGAGACGAAAUUCUUCCAGGCCAGUUUCUUCACUUCCAUGUUCUCCCCUUUCUUCAACAUUUUUAGAAGUCUCUCUCAAGCUCUAUCUCUCAUCCACUCUCACGUCUCACUCACUCUCUCUCUCUCUCUCUCUCUCUCUCUCUCUCUCUCGUCCCUGUCGAGUCUCUCUCUCACGCUCUCUCUUUUCCCCUCAACUGCCAUACUACCCCUCACCUCCGAUCUUUGGCGCCGUUUCCAGCUAGCUCCGUCGACCGCUUCUCCGGCAGCCUCCAGCCAACGCAUUUGUCUAAGAUUUGCACUUCAACUGCACUGCUAUCAUCAAUUUAAGUUUUUGGGAGUUGCAGUUGCUCCGUGGCCACGACACUUCCACUUCGAAAUGAGAGGAAGACCAAAGUUUUCUGACCUUUUAAGAUUAUUGUUGCUUGUGGAGUACUCAAGUACCAGCAGGAUGAGCAAGUUAAAGAUGAGAAAUGAUAUUCAGUUAAUAUAGACUGAUAUUUUCAGGUUCUACAAGGAGAAAUUUGUUACAUUUUCUAAGGUUCUCCUGGAAGGACACUGAUAAAAGUUGGCAAGAGUACCUUUGAAGUUGAAGAACCUUUGAAGUUGAAGAAUGCGAUUGAAAAUUUGGCAAAAGGAAAGAAUUAAAGAUUUCAUGGAUGGAGAAGUUUGUGCAGAAGGGAACUGAGAUUACUGCCCCGGUACCAAUGGCUCCACCUGGAACUACUGGACUUGGAGGGUUUGAAGUUCCUUUAUCCAAAGGAGGUAUUCUGCGUUCUGAUGCCAGUGCUCUAAAUGUUGGUGUUCUUCAUCUGGUUCCCAGUUUAGAGGUGUUUCCAUUAUUGGCUGACCUGAAAAUGCAAGGUUUAGUCUUUGAUCUUUUACAAAUUGUCAUUCUCAUGAAUAAAGUCUCACAUCCAGCCACUUCCUUUCUGGUUGCUGCAUUCUUAACUGGUGGUGCUUCUUGUUCUUGAGGUUCAUGCGUGCAUAGCAGAAGAUCUUCUGCAUUUUCGCCAGCUUGUGGUUUUCCUUGUUCAUAAUUUCCGGAUAGACAAUUUUCUUCUGGAGAAGCGUGGUGCUCUGAUAAUCUGCCGGCUUUGUGUACUUUUAAAUGCUGAAAGGGUCUAUCGUGAACUCUCAACCAUACUAGAAGGAGAAUCUGACCUGGAUUUUGCGUCAAUUAUGGUUCAGGUUCUGUCAGUUAUCAAAGAACUUGUAUAAACCUGUAGUGUAUGAGUAACC